AUUGACCGCUGGCGGCAGGCCUAAAACAUGCAAGUCGAGCGAGCGGCGGACGGGUGAGUAAUGUAUGGGGACUGCCCGAUAGAGGGGGCUAACUACUGGAAACGAUGGCUAAUACCGCAUACUAUCCGAUAACCCAUAUGGGAUUAGCUAGUAGGUAAGGUAAUGGCUUACCUAGGCGACGCUCCCUAGCUGGUCUGAGAGGAUGAUCAGCCAGAAUGGGACUGAGAAACGGCCCAGACUCCUACGGAGGCAGCAGUGGGGAAUAUUGCACAAUGGGGGCAAGCCUAAUGCAGCCAUGCCGCGUGUAUGAAGAAGGACCUAGGGUUGUAAAGUACUUUCAGUCGGGAGGCGUUACCGACAGAAGAAGCACCGGCUAACUCCGUGCCAGCAGCCGCGGUAAUUC
rnacentral:rRNA from 1 species